AGAUUGAACGCUAGCGGGAUGCUUUACACAUGCAAGUCGAACGGCAGCGCGGACUUCGGUCUGGCGGCGAGUGGCGAACGGGUGAGUAAUAUAUCGGAACGUGCCCAGUAGCGGGGGAUAACUACGCGAAAGCGUGGCUAAUACCGCAUACGCCCUACGGGGGAAAGGGGGGAUUCUUCGGAACCUCUCACUAUUGGAGCGGCCGAUAUCAGAUUAGCUAGUUGGUGAGGUAAUGGCUCACCAAGGCGACGAUCCGUAACUGGUCUGAGAGGAUGAUCAGUCACACUGGAACCCGAGACACGGUCCAGACUCCUACGGGAGGCAGCAGUGGGGAAUAUUGGACAAGUGGGACAAAGCCUGAAUCCGAGCCAUGCCGCGUGUGUGAAGAGGUCUUCGGAUUGUAAGCACGUUUAGUGGAGAAGGCAGUAAUAAUACUUGUCUGUUUGACGUUACGACAGAAUAAGAC
rnacentral:rRNA from 1 species